GCUAGAAAGGAGCUGUCAUUAAUGUCUGUAGUAUUACCCGUGCUUUUCCUGCGAUGCCAAGUUAAAAUGUGCGUGACAGAAAAAGUUUGGGAACCACUGCUCUAAACUAAAGAUGGUUCACACUGCAACACUCUACUCCACCUUGGCCAGGUUCCAUUGUGUCUGCAAAGCUUUUCCCGGCUGUCCGUGUCCCUGCAUCAGGCUAAGCUACAGCUGUCGCCUGGAACAAAAUGUAUCUCAAGCUAAGAGAGGACUUUCAACCAGCCAGACGCGAGACACCCUGCAGUAAGCUGCUUUUCCACCGCACGGACUGCAGGAAGAGGUUUCAUAGCACUGAGAUUUGUAGCUUCUGAUGGGAUGGCAAUGUCUCUUGGUCAGCUGAUCCACCGAUCCAAACUGAACAGCUCUCAACAACUACUGGAUGGAUUGCCAUGAACUUUUGUACAGACAUGUGUGUUUCCCAGACAAUGAACACUAAUGAAUUAA